rnacentral:rRNA from 1 species
AACAUUUGUUUACGCAAUGAAUAUCUCAGCUCAACUGAUGAUGAAGAAUGCAGCAAAUUGCGAUAUGCAAUGUGAAUUGCAGAAUUCCGUGAAUUAUUUUAUGUUGGAACGCCUUUUGUGCCUUUGGGAUAUGCUUGAAGGUGUGCUUGAUCCAAUGUAAUUG